CAGGCUUAACACAUGCAAGUCGAGGGGUAGAAGUCUUCGGACUUUGAGACCGGCGCACGGGUGCGUAACGCGUAUGCAAUCUACCUUUUACAGAGGGAUAGCCCAGAGAAAUUUGGAUUAAUACCUCAUAGUAUAUAGACUCGGCAUCGAGAUUAUAUUAAAGUCACAACGGUAAAAGAUGAGCAUGCGUCCCAUUAGCUAGUUGGUAAGGUAACGGCUUACCAAGGCUACGAUGGGUAGGGGUCCUGAGAGGGAGAUCCCCCACACUGGUACUGAGACACGGACCAGACUCCUACGGGAGGCAGCAGUGAGGAAUAUUGGACAAUGGGCGCAAGCCUGAUCCAGCCAUGCCGCGUGCAGGAUGACGGUCCUAUGGAUUGUAAACUGCUUUUGUACAGGAAGAAACACUCCGACGUGUCGGAGCUUGACGGUACUGUAAGAAUAAGGAUCGGCUAACUCCGUGCCAGCAGCCGCGGUAAUACGGAGGAUCCAAGCGUUAUCCGGAAUCAUUGGGUUUAAAGGGUCCGUAGGCGGUUUAGUAAGUCAGUGGUGAAAGCCCAUCGCUCAACGGUGGAACGGCCAUUGAUACUGCUAGACUUGAAUUAUUAGGAAGUAACUAGAAUAUGUAGUGUAGCGGUGAAAUGCUUAGAGAUUACAUGGAAUACCAAUUGCGAAGGCAGGUUACUACUAAUUGAUUGACGCUGAUGGACGAAAGCGUGGGUAGCGAACAGGAUUAGAUACCCUGGUAGUCCACGCCGUAAACGAUGGAUACUAGCUGUU
rnacentral:rRNA from 1 species